GGAUGUAAGGGUGAUCUGGCUGCAACAUUUAUCACCCUGUUGAUCACCAGGGUUAAUUCAGUUGAUCUAGCUGGCUAGGUGGGUAUCCCCUUCCUCUCUCACCAUUCAGUGUGUAUACCUUGUAAAACUGCUCACAAGGCCAAAGAGUGUAACUCUCCCAGAAUAAUCUUUAGUCAAGGGUACACAAGUACCUGAGCUGCCCUACAGAACCUCCAAUCAAGCUCUGAAAGCACAAGUUUAUAGGGAACAUCUGAUUCAAACCACCACAGCAUCAGAAAACAUCAACUCUUCCAGAAAGCAUUGGUAAAUUU
rnacentral:snRNA from 1 species